GGAAGGCAGCCCAGGAAAUUAAUUCCUUUCCUCAUUCUACUCCCUCCCUUCCAUCUCCUGCUUCCUCUUGUCCAAACCCAAGCAGCAACCAGAGGCUCCUAGACCUCAGUUUCUGCAGAUCUAGAGGGCAGCCUUUAGGGUACAGAACCGGGAGGUAGGGGGCCAGGGGUAGGAAGUGGAUCUGGAGGGCACAGCCUGCUGUUCCACCCAGUUUUAUGUUGACAAAUUUCAAAAAAGGUUGAAAGAUUACAAGCUCCCCACCCUCUUCUGGAUUCACCAUUGCUCAGUUUGCUGCUUUUGUGCUUCUCAUGUACUGACGAUGUAUUUCGCUACCACCUGAAGGCCUGCAAAUUGGGAACACCCAUCCUCUCUACUUGUUCAAGGUCAUCAGUCCUGCCUUCUUUCCUAUUAAACAACAGCCACGUUGCACUCGCCCUCUGCAAUGGCCCACACUCUGUCUGUGGAGUGUGAUUCUCUGUAUCUGAAUAAAUCCAC
ensembl:lncRNA